rnacentral:rRNA from 1 species
CACGUGGGGUCCGAGCGUUGUCCGGAGUCACUGGGCGUAAAGCGCACGCAGGCGGUCCACUGCGCCCGGCGUGAAAGCCCCCGGCUCAACCGGGGAGGGUCGUCGGGGACGGGUGGACUUGAGAGCGGCAGGGGCCGGUGGAAUCCCUGGUGUAGUGGUGAAAUGCGUAGAGAUCAGGGGGAACACCCGUGGCGAAGGCGGCCGGCUGGGCCGACUCUGACGCUGAGGUGCGAAGGCGUGGGGAGCGAACGGG